CAAAUCAGUUUCUGAAAAAUGUUCUGUUUUUUCUCCCUCUGCUUGCUUCUUACUGUCUUUGAGGCUCGGGACCAGCACUCCUGCUGUUGGACAGAAAGACAUCAACUCAGUGACUUGAGAUAUGACUGCACUGUGCUGUUGCUGUGACUCCAGUUAAUUCUACAAGACAUGCUGUGACACCAGGAGAGAUGAGUCCUCCAUCACAGAUGGUGUGGUCAGUGAAGGUGGUCACCUGCAGGUUCAAGCUCAUUGCAUCUCCAACCCACAUCCACUGCCACUGUGCUUAAGGGAAGUUAAAGACUUUCUUCUGCACCUACAUUUGAAUCACCUCAAUCCAUGACAGUCAUU